CAAGCGGUGGAGCAUGUGGUUUAAUUCGAUGCAACGCGAAGAACCUUACCUGGUCUUGACAUCCACAGAACUUUCCAGAGAUGGAUUGGUGCCUUCGGGAACUGUGAGACAGGUGCUGCAUGGCUGUCGUCAGCUCGUGUUGUGAAAUGUUGGGUUAAGUCCCGCAACGAGCGCAACCCUUAUCCUUUGUUGCCAGCGGUCCGGCCGGGAACUCAAAGGAGACUGCCAGUGAUAAACUGGAGGAAGGUGGGGAUGACGUCAAGUCAUCAUGGCCCUUACGACCAGGGCUACACACGUGCUACAAUGGCGCAUACAAAGAGAAGCGACCUCGCGAGAGCAAGCGGACCUCAUAAAGUGCGUCGUAGUCCGGAUUGGAGUCUGCAACUCGACUCCAUGAAGUCGGAAUCGCUAGUAAUCGUGGAUCAGAAUGCCACGGUGAAUACGUUCCCGGGCCUUGUACACACCGCCCGUCACACCAUGGGAGUGGGUUGCAAAAGAAGUAGGUAGCUUAACCUUCGGGAGGGCGCUUACCACUUUGUGAUUCAUGACUGGGGUGAAGUCGUAACAAGGUAACCGUAGGGGAACCUGC
rnacentral:rRNA from 1 species